rnacentral:rRNA from 1 species
GGGCGCGGAGUGCUUGCACUUCGGCGUCGAGCGGCGGACGGGUGAGUAAUGCUUGGGAAUAUGCCUUAAGGUGGGGGACAACAGUUGGAAACGACUGCUAAUACCGCAUAAUGUCUACGGACCAAAGGAGGGGAUCUUCGGACCUUUCGCCUUUAGAUUAGCCCAAGUGAGAUUAGCUAGAUGGUGGGGUAAUGGCCUACCAUGGCGACGAUCUCUAGCUGGUUUGAGAGGAUGAUCAGCCACACUGGGACUGAGACACGGCCCAGACUCCUACGGGAGGCAGCAGUGGGGAAUAUUGCACAAUGGGCGAAAGCCUGAUGCAGCCAUGCCGCGUGUGUGAAGAAGGCCUUCGGGUUGUAAAGCACUUUCAGCGAGGAGGAAAGGUUAGUAGUUAAUACCUGCUAGCUGUGACGUUACUCGCAGAAGAAGCACCGGCUAACUCCGUGCCAGCAGCCGCGGUAAUACGGAGGGUGCGAGCGUUAAUCGGAAUUACUGGGCGUAAAGCGUGCGUAGGCGGAUUGUUAAGCGAGAUGUGAAAGCCCAGGGCUCAACCUUGGAACUGCAUUUCGAACUGGCUAUCUAGAGUAUUGUAGAGGGUGGUGGAAUUUCCAGUGUAGCGGUGAAAUGCGUAGAGAUUGGAAGGAACAUCA